UGACACCACUCGAGAAAACAUGCUUGC
rnacentral:piRNA from 1 species